rnacentral:tRNA from 18 species
GGCUACGUAGCUCAGUCGGUUAGAGCACCGCACUCAUAAUGCGGGGGUCGGUGGUUCAAGUCCACCCGUAGCCACCA